rnacentral:rRNA from 1 species
GACCUGGUUGGGUGGUCUUGCCGCAAGGUAAGCACUGCUCCGAUCGGGUCUUUCCUUCUGGGGAACCAGCGUGCUCUUAAUUGGGUGCGUUGGGGAUCCAGGACUUUUACCUUGAGAAAAUUAGAGUGUUUAAAGCAGGCAAACGCUUGAAUACGUUAGCAUGGAAUAAUAGAAUAGGAC